rnacentral:lncRNA from 1 species
CCCGGGCCGCCCCUCACGCGCCCCGCCGCCGCCGCCGCCGCCGCCGCGCGCCCCCCGAGCACGGCCGCCGCUCCGCCGUGAGCUCCGCCAGGCAGCGCCGAGGCGCGCGGGCCAUCCCGGGGGAGCGCGACGCGGGGCUCGGCCCGGCCGGGGAGGGGCGGGCGCGCGGGCGGGCGGGCGGGCGGGCGCGCGGGGCGGGGCGGGGCGGGGCGGGGCGGGGCGGGGAGGCGGAGGCGGAGGCGGAGGCGGAGGCGGCGGCCGCGCGCCGGGCCCAGGCGCCGCUCUAGCCGCUCUGGCCGCUCCGGCCCAGCCGCGCGCGCCGCCCGCCUCCGCUCGCGCCCGCCCCGGGCCCCGCCGCGCCGCCAUCUUCCGCGCCCCGCCCGCGGGCCCCGAGCGCCGGGAAGGGCCCGUGUCCCCGGAGCGCGGCGCGGGUGCGGACGGCGCGGAGGGCGCGGAGGGCGCGGAGGGCGGGCGGGCGGCCGGGACCCGAGCCCCCCGCGGGGCCGCCGUCUCCCGCACCCCGGAGCUCCGGGGCGGGCCGGCCGGGCAGGCCUCACCCGCGGCACGGAGCGCGCCCGGAUCGCGGACCCCGCGCGCCCCGCACCCGCACCUCCGCACCCCGCGCCCCUCACCUCCGCACCUCGUGCCCCGCACCGCACCCCGCACCCCGUGCGCCGCCCCCUGCACGCCCGCACCCCCUUGCCCCGCACCCGCGUGCCCCGCACCUCCGCACCCCGUGCGCCGCCCCCUGCGCGCUCCGCACCCCCGCACCCGCGCGCCCCGCACCUCUGCACCCCACGCUCCGCUCCCCGCGCGCCCCGUACCCCGUGCGCCGCCCCCUCGCGCGCCCCGCACUGGUGCUCUGCGCCCCACACCCCGUACCCCGUGCGCCGCGCCCCUCACCUCGGUGCCCCGCACCCCCUGCGCCGUCCCCCGCGUGCCCCGCACCCGCGCCCCCCACACGAUCCGCACCCGCACCCCGCGCGACCCACACCUCCGCACCGCAUGUUCCGCUCCCCGCUCGCCCCGCACCCGCGUGCCCCGCACCCUGUGCUCCGCCUCCCUCGCGCUCCGCACCUCCACACCCCGCGCGCCCUGAACCCCGUGCGCCGCACCCCCCCGCGCCCCCCCGCACCUCCGCACCCUGUGCGCCGCACCCCCCGCACCCCCCGCACCCCCCCGCACCUCCGCACCCCGUGCGCCGCGCCCCUCACCUCCGCACCGCGUGCCCUGCACACCCGGACCCGCGCCGCCCCGCAUCCCCCACGCGCCGCCCCCGCACCCCGCGCGCCCCGCACCCGGUGCUCUGCGCCCCGCACCCCCGCACCCCGUGCGCCGCGCCCCUCACCUCCGCACCCCGCACACCCGCACACGCGCGCUGCCCCGCAUCCCCCACGCGCCGCACCCGCACCCCGCGCGCCCCGCACCCGCGCGCCGCGGUGCUCUCGGGUCCCAGCGGGCGCCCGAAGCGAGGGGCGCCUGGGCGUCCGCCACCAACAGCCCGUGCUCCUCGCCCCGCUUCCCCCCUUCGCCUCCCUCCCCCUCCACGCGCCCGGGAGCCCAGGACGGUCCUUCAGGGUCCACGAAUUCAGCUCACCUCCGAAAGGCCUGCGGCAUCUUCUUUCUUUUCCAUUCCUACUAGCAAAAGCCUACUUUGUCCACCCAUUCGCCUCCCCAACAAAUGUGACCCGAGGACCUACUAUGUGACCCUGUUCUACGCUCUUGCAAUAUAAUGCUGAAUUUAAGAAGGCAAGAUUAAGAACCUCCUGAGGUCAACCAGCUAGUUCUGUGCGUCUCUCCUCACCUUCCAGCUACUCAGACAUCCUCUUAACUUCCUAGUUUUACCUCCUAUAAUUUCCCCUAAAUCCAGCUUCCCGACUGAUUUUUUUCCUGAUAAUCCUUUCAUCAUGCAUACUAUUCCAUUGCUCAAAAAAACCCCUUCUGGUGAUCUAGUACCCUAUUUAAUAUUAUGUCCCCUGUUCCUAAAGUCAUCCAGAACCUUUUCACAAGCAGGAUUCCAUCCCCAUGCGAAGCCAUUGUUCUGUAGUUUCCAUCAGUGUGAAUUAUAGAGGGUUGAAUUGUGCCUCCCAAAGAUUUGUUCAAGCCUGAACUCCUAGAAUCUGUGAAUGUGACCUUUGUUGGAAACAGGGCCUUUGCAGGCAUAACCAAGUUAAGGUAAGGUCAAACUGGGAUGAGCCUUGAAUCCAGUGGUUGGUAUCUUUAUAAGAGAAAGAAUCAGGAGUUUUGGAACCCCACACACAGAGAAGAUGGCCAUGUGAAGAUGGAGGUGGAGAUCAAAGUAAUGGGAGCCAUAGGCCAAGGACUGCCAAGAAUUUCCAGAAGCUCUGAGAAGCUAGAAAGAGGCAAGAAAAGAUUCUUUCCUAGAGCCUUUGGAGGUGUUAACCUCGAUUUUGGACUUGCAGCUUCCAAAACCGUGAGAGAAUAAAUAUCUGUUGUAUUAUGCCAUACAGUUUGUGGUGAUCUGUUACAGUGACCCUAAGAAACAAAUAGAGAGAUUAGUGUUUCUUCCCCCAACCCCAGUACUUUUUAUUUUGUGUUCCUCCUCCCCUCUGCUACAUCAUGAAAGCCUGGAAUUUCUGACUAAAAAGUUUCAGCUCUAGGGGCACCUGGGUGGCUCAGUCAGUUAAGCAUCUGCCUUCUGCUCAGGUCAUGAUCCCAGGGUCCUGGGAUUGAGCCCUGAGUCUGGUUUCCUGCUCAGCGGGGAGCUGCCUCUGUGCCUCCCCCUGCUCCUGCUCACUUGUUCUCUCUCAAAUAAUUUUUUUUUUUUUUUUAAGUUUCACUUCUAAAGGCAAUGGGAAUUGAAGGAAGGUUCUGGUUUGGAAGCGGGAGACUGACAGGUUCAGAGCAUCCUGGGGAAUGACUCAGGGCUGUUGUGUCAUCUCAAUGGCAGGUGGCAAUGGCCAGAACAAAGCCAGCAACAGUGCAGGGGGAACAGGAAUAACAGAUGUGGGGCAUAUUGUAAGGAGUGGAAUGAAUGACAGCAAUCGAUGAGAUGUGAGGACUGGGGAGGAAAAGGGGUGCUGGUGGCUAGGGAAAGAUCUAGAAAAAUCAUGGCCCAUAACCCAUCACAAAUGGAUGAGAAGUCUUAAGGGAAGAGGGGGAAUGGUUAACAAGGUGCUGCUAGUUAAACAGUUCCCAGUGGCUCUUUGCUGAGUGGUCCUUCCUUCUGCUUUCCUUUCCCAAACUUCUCCAACUUUAAAGGUCUAGAUUAGUCCUCACCUCUUCUAAGAAGGGUUUACUAAACUGUUUUAUUCUUCAAGACAGUCUAGGCUUAACUCACUUGGAAUCAUAUCUUUUUAGAGUGACAAAGUGCCUUUUGGGGGUCUUCUAGACCCUUCUAUAACAUCCCCCAAAAUGGUCCUCCCUGUGCUUGAGUAUGUUCGGUGGUACAGUGCUCACUGCUGGGUGACUAUUCCAACAUUAUAUAGUUGUAGCGGAUCUCCAUGAAGAAUCAAAUCUGCCUCUUUGUAAACCCCAAGUGUUGACAUGAGUGCUGUCUCCUAGAGUUUCACUCUCCGAGUCAGUGUCUUCUUAUAUGUGACAGCCCCU